rnacentral:rRNA from 1 species
UACGAAGGGGGGCUAGCGUUGCUCGGAAUCACUGGGCGUAAAGCGCACGUAGGCGGCUUUCUAAGUCAGGGGUGAAAUCCUGGAGCUCAACUCCAGAACUGCCUUUGAUACUGGAGUGCUUGAGUCCGGGAGAGGUGAGUGGAACUCCGAGUGUAGAGGUGAAAUUCGUAUGAUAUUCGGAAGAACACCAGUGGCGAAGGCGGCUCACUGGCCCGGUACUGACGCUGAUGUGCGAAAGCGUGGGGAGCAAACAGG